GUGAAGAACGUAGCGAAAUGCGAUAAGUAAUGUGAAUUGCAGAAUUCAGUGAAUCAUCGAAUCUUUGAACGCACAUUGCGCCCGCCAGUAUUCUGGCGGGCAUGCCUGUUCGAGCGUCAUUUCAACCAUCAAGCCCCCGGCUUGUGUUGGGGACCUGCGGCUGCCGCAGGCCCUGAAAACCAGUGGCGGGCUCGCUAGUCACUCCGAGCGUAGUAGUUACAUCUCGCUCAGGGCGUGCUGCGGGUUCCGGCCGUUAAAAGCCUUAUUUACCCAAGGUUGACCUCGGAUCAGGUAGGAAGACCCGCUGAACUUAAGCAUAUCAAUAAGCGGAGGA
rnacentral:misc_RNA from 1 species